GUUCGGGUACAUAGCGAUGUACCGUUAGUAGUCGAUUGUACAAACUGUGCAGCACCACUGGAUCAAUUCGUCUUCACGAUGACGAAGACGUGUAUGGUGAUGGUGAUGGUGAUGGCGGUCACUAUACUGCUUUCGGAAGUUGUAGGAGCUAAAGAACCGACGGGCUGUCAUAUCUACACACUCAACGGCACGUCUUCUGGAGAAUCCUGGACGCCCUCCGUCGAGAUCAAAUCUCAGGUGACCUUGGCCCUGAGGACCCCGACAGAUGACCCCUGGGAGGAAAUCGACCUGGAGUUCGAGUCCCAGACGGGAGCGAACGUUGGGACUCUGCAGCUCUUGAGGGAGGGCAGCGCAAGCGACGUGACCUUCACCCUCAGCAGCUGGCCGACGACUGUCCACAGCAACAGGCAGAGGACCGUGACCUACAAGUCUCGAGGGGCACUCAACAACCUCGUGCAACUGCGAGACUGGGUGUACGUCAACGUGUCUGCAGGAGAGAAUCUGCGAGUCUCCCUCAAGGAUUCCAGCGUCGGUUCAAGAAGGUGAACGCAAGGCCCUUCAAGAAGUUGUACGUGAGAGUGCCCGAGGGACAGGACCUCCAGGUGGCGUUCAACUGCGGGAAAGGCCAGAGUGUAGCCAAGCAGACCGCAUCAGCAACAGCGGCUCCAGCGCCGGAGAAAUCGAAUUCGAAGGUCACCAUCGUCCGGCCUUAGUCCUGCUGGGGUUGGUCGUCGGCGUUGCCGUCUCUGGUGCACCGGCAGGAAGAAGAGAAACGCCCAGGUCAAGACGUCGGAAGAGGGGGAAGAGCAAGACGAUG